CUCCAGAAGAAAAAAGGGGAAUGUCCAUGUACCAGCAGGGCAGAUACAAGUGAUACAGGCCAGUUUUGCACAGCACUUAUAUACGGUGUGGCCAGAGGAUACAAGACAAAACAAAGAUAAAACUGAAGCUUCUCCACUCCUCUCUGGUGAGGACAAGCCUGGAAUGGUCCACAGGCCAGCCAGUCUGACUUCACUCCUAAUUACCACUGUCCUGUCAGUUUGAUUUGUAUGGGAAGGGAGCCCCAAGGGGGAAGCAUCAGUGUUUUUCCAUCACCACACUGAUUCCAGCAGAAUGUUAAGAGAUUUCCCUAUUACAGAGAAUGCUUCAUGGACAACUUCAGAAAUGAGUCAGAGAAGUCCUGCGCAGGCAGCCCCUGCCAGUGCAGGAUGGUUCCCUAAGGUAUGUAACCUAGUGUUCUAACCCACCCCUCCAUUCUAGGCUGUCCUUUGCCCUGCCCUGGAACCCAUCUACCCAGGAGCGACCCAUCCAUAUAGGCAAACUAGGCAGUCACCUAGGGUGCCAAGUUAAAUGGGGCACCAAAUUUGAGGAAAAAAAAUAAAAUUAAAAAAAAAUAAAAUGGAAAAAAAUGAAAAAGAUGAAAAAAAAUAACAAAGAUGUCAUUAUUUCAAUUGCUGUGCAUGUAUGGCGGGAAUAUGAAUUAUAAUUAAUUUCUCUACAUUUCUGAGAAUUUAUCAAUAUGUCAGAUCUUUUACUUACUGCAAAAAUAAAUAAUAUUUUAGCAAAAAAAAAUUUCAGUUUGCAGCGUAGGGUCAAAAUGACCCACUCCACAAUUUUGAUAAGCAAUAACUCGGCCACAAUGAAACACAUCCACCAGUGGCAAGAACUGCAAUGCUAGUGACUCCUAACUCAAAUAUAUAUCAAGGUCGCAUAGCCGGAAAUUCAUGUAGAGCAGAGAUAUUAUGAGUUGAUACAUGUCAAACAAUCAUUUUAACGCACGUUGCAGGUAUAUGGUUAAGAAUCGAGCAAAUACUGUGGAAAAUUGUGUUUCUUGGUGCCAAAGAAUAAAGAAUAACAUCUUUCAGCAUUAUAAAUCCAAAAUGUGAGUAUCUUCAAACAUUAUUAAACCUUAGUGUUAUUAUCGAGCUAUAUAAUUAUGAACUUUUCUUUGUUAUAACUGGUUCACAUGUAAUAAAUAAGGUCCAUAAAAGAAAAGUAACAGCGUUAACGCUUAAUAGACUAUGAAAGUGAUGACGUCACACUCCAAGCGGGUAACCGUGAGGAAGGGGAUUACUUUCCAAACAACUGGUGUUGGGUUAUAACGUCGAAAAAUUUGUUUCUGUGUAAAUGCUGUAACUGUUUUAAUAGGGAAGUGAGUGUAUGUUACUAAUCAUUGAACCUUUAAGCAGCGAAAAGACGCAUUGGGAUGGCUGCAAUGUGGUUUAAAUUGCCAACCAUGUGGUGGGUGUGUCAGCCAUCCUUAACGCUAUAAUGCUUGCAGUCGGGAGCACAGUACAUAACAAUAUUCAAAUGCCCCAUGGCAGAAAGCAAAGAAUAAAAUUCUCAGGAGCUGAGUAUUGUAAACGAAAGGCUGAGAAGGAAAAGAACCAAGCAAAACAGCAGGGAUCCUUCCUGAAAUAUCUUCUCUUUAAUCCAAAUAAAGAUGGAAACAGUUCAUAGCAUCCAGAUGAAGGAAUUUUACUUGGAGAGGAGGGUAGCUCACAUCCACAAAAAAGCAGUUUGGAAACUCAAGAUGAUGGAAACUUACUUCUAGAUGAAGGCAGCUCACAGCAUCAGACUGAUAUGGAAGUGGAAAAAAUGUAUUCACCUUCAGAGACACAUUCAGAAAUUGAAGUAAAUGAAGUAGAAGGAAGAGAGGAUGAGGAAGUUACAAACGAGUUACAGUAUUGGGACCCAAAUUCAUGGCCCAGAUGUGAUGACAGUGUGCGGCAAAUUCUCGUGGAACAUGGACCCGAACAAGUUCAUGAAUUUCCCUUCCCUAAGGAUGGAAAUACAAGAAAAUUCUCUGCUCAGCAUUACAAGAGGAAACUCAUUAAUGGGGAAGAAAUUAAUCGAAACUGGUUACAGUAUUCAUGGUUGAAGGACUCUUUUUGUUUUGCUUUUGCUGCAAGUUGUUUAGAAAUCAAGCAAUUGGUAUAUCACUUACUGAAAAUGACUCGAAGGACUGGAAAAACAUAUCUUCAAUUCUCUCUUCACAUGAAAGAA